rnacentral:tRNA from 1 species
GGGCCCGUGGCUCAGCCUGGCAGAGCGCCCGGCUGAUAACCGGGAGGUCGCGGGUUCAAGUCCCGCCGGGCCCACCA